CUACGAGGUGCUCCAGUGAGGAAUAUUGCACAAUGGGGGGAACCCUGAUGCAGCAACGCCGCGUGGAGGAUGACGCAUUUCGGUGUGUAAACUCCUUUUAUAUGUCAAGAAAAUGACGGUAGCAUAUGAAUAAGCACCGGCUAACUCCGUGCCAGCAGCCGCGGUAAUACGGAGGGUGCAAGCGUUACUCGGAAUCACUGGGCGUAAAGGACGCGUAGGCUGGUUGGUAAGUCAGGUGUGAAAUCCUACAGCUUAACUGUAGAACUGCACUUGAAACUACCAACCUAGAGUAUGGGAGGGGGAGAUGGAAUUAGUGGUGUAGGGGUAAAAUCCGUAGAUAUCACUAGGAAUACCGAAAGCGAAGGCGAUCUCCUGGAACAUAACCGACGCUAAGGCGUGAAAGCGUGGGGAGCAAACAGGAUUAGAUACCCGUGUAGUC
rnacentral:rRNA from 1 species